GCAGGGCCCCCAAGAGUGUAUGUGGUCCUGGCUGUGACCUCCUCCCUCCUCCCUCUCCUGCUCCCUCUCCUUCAACAGGGGCCAUCAGGUCUUGGGUAGAGACAGGGCCUUUGCUCUCUCCCUCCUCUAGGAAAAGCCGUGUCUUGGUCUGGGUAGCCGGGCUUGGUAGUGGUGGUGGGGCAUCUGUAGCUCUAGGUCCAGCUGGAGGCCCCGCCUGGCCAGGUGUUGAGUGAACAGCAGACCCUCUCUCUGCAGACAUCAGGGCAGUUUGUUGUGGGGGAAGAGUCAAGUGAGGAUUUCCAUGUCUGGAGGAAUCUCCUGGAGGAGCUUGUCAAAAAAUGGAGACUCUUGGGCCCAACCCCAGGGAUUCUGAUUUAGGGGGUUGGGGUGGCGCCCAGGAGUCUGCAAGUUAAACAAUAAAUAGCCCAGGAGAUUCUGAUACAGGUGGGCGAUGGCAAACAUUUUGAGAAAUCCCAGGAGGUGGGAAGGAAGGACUACAGACAGAUGGCCUGGUUGGAAUCUUCUGGGAAUCACCUCUGGGAAUCAGUUUCCUCACUCAUAAAGUGGAGAGGAUAAUGCUUUGGCACCUGGCAUAUGAACCUGAUGCUCACUAUGCUACUCUCCUGCUCAAGAACCUGCUGUGGCUGGACUGUACAUCACGCCUAAACUGCCUCAACCUCCACUUAUAUCAACCUUCACUUCCCCCGUUCCACUGGCCCAUCCAGACACAACUCCUCACUGUGUUGGACCAUUCUGGCAGCUGCGUCUUGGAGUGACCUUUCUUUUGACCUCUGUCAUUUUCAAGACAGCCUCUCCAUGAAGCCCUCCUUGACAGCCCCAGCCCACUUGAGCUUUCUUUUCUCUUAGUGGCCAGCAUCAGACACCAACUGUUUCUCGUCAUCUAAUUGAGCAUGGUAGAGGAGACACUGGAAACAGAAAAAAACCAAAGCUCAUGGCCUUGCUCUGCUCCUUCCUGGCUGUGUUAUCCUGAGCAAAGUACUUCAUCC